GACGAAGGGGGCUAGCGUUGUUCGGAAUUACUGGGCGUAAAGCGCGUGUAGGCGGUUGCCCAAGUCGGGUGUGAAAGCCUUGAGCUCAACUCAAGAAAUGCACUCGGUACUGGGUGACUAGAGGACCGGAGAGGAUAGUGGAAUUCCCAGUGUAGUGGUGAAAUACGUAGAGAUUGGGAAGAACACCAGUGGCGAAGGCGGCGAGCUGGACGGUUUCUGACGCUAAGACGCGGAAGCGUGGGGAGCAAACAGG
rnacentral:rRNA from 1 species